UACGUAGGGGGCAAGCGUUGUCCGGAAUCAUUGGGCGUAAAGCGCGUGUAGGCGGUUACGUAAGUCUGCUGUGAAAGUCGGAGGCUCAACCUUCGAAAGCCGGUGGAUACUGCGUGACUAGAGUACGGAAGAGGAGAGUGGAAUUCCUGGUGUAGCGGUGAAAUGCGCAGAUAUCAGGAGGAACACCGGUGGCGAAGGCGGUUCUCUGGGCAUGUCCUGACGCUGAGGAGCGAAAGUGUGGGGAGCGAACAGG
rnacentral:rRNA from 1 species